GACGAACGCUGGCGGCGUGCCUAAUACAUGCAAGUAGAACGCACAGUUUAUACCGUAGCUUGCUACACCAUAGACUGUGAGUUGCGAACGGGUGAGUAACGCGUAGGUAACCUGCCUGGUAGCGGGGGAUAACUAUUGGAAACGAUAGCUAAUACCGCAUAAUAUUAAUUAUUGCAUGAUAAUUAAUUGAAAGGUGCAAUUGCACCACUACCAGAUGGACCUGCGUUGUAUUAGCUAGUAGGUGAGGUAACGGCUCACCUAGGCGACGAUACAUAGCCGACCUGAGAGGGUGAUCGGCCACACUGGGACUGAGACACGGCCCAGACUCCUACGGGAGGCAGCAGUAGGGAAUCUUCGGCAAUGGACGAAGGUCUGACCGAGCAACGCCGCGUGAGUGAAGAAGGUUUUCGGAUCGUAAAGCUCUGUUGUAAGAGAAGAACGGGUGUGAGAGUGGAAAGUUCACACUGUGACGGUAUCUUACCAGAAAGAGACGGCUAACUACGUG
rnacentral:rRNA from 1 species